GACGGAGGAUGCAAGUGUUAUCCGGAAUCACUGGGCGUAAAGCGUCUGUAGGUGGUUUAAAAAGUCCACUGUUAAAAAUUGAAGCUUAACUUCAAAGAUGCCGUGGAAACUUUUAAACUUGAGUAUGAUAGGGGUAGAGGGAAUUUCCAGUGGAGCGGUGAAAUGCGUAGAUAUUGGAAAGACCACCAAUGGCGAAGGCACUCUACUGGGCCAUUACUGACACUGAGAGACGAGAGCUAGGGGAGCGAAUGGG
rnacentral:rRNA from 1 species